AGGGUUUGAUUAUGGCUCAGAACGUACGCUGGCGGCACGCCUUAUACAUGCAAGUCGAACGAAGUAGCAAUACUUAGUGGCAGACGGGUGAGUAACAUGUGGGUAUCUUCCCUUUGGUGAGGAAUAACACGAGGAAACUUGUGCUAAUACCUCAUAAGUCUUUACGGAGAAAGCUUUAUGCGCCAAUGGAUGAGCCUGCACUUGAUUAGUUUGUUGGUGGGGUAAUGGCCUACCAAGACUUUGAUCAAUAGCUGAUCUGAGAGGAUGAUCAGCCACAUUGGGACUGAGACACGGCCCAAACUCCUACGGGAGGCAGCAGUAGGGAAUAUUGCACAAUGGAGGAAACUCUGAUGCAGCGAUGCCGCGUGAGUGAAGAAGGCCUUUGGGUUGUAAAGCUCUUUCGUCGGGGAAGAAAAUGACUGUACCCGAAUAAGAAGGUCCGGCUAACUUCGUGCCAGCCGCCGCGGUAAUAC
rnacentral:rRNA from 1 species